AACGAACGCUGGCGGCGGGCCUCAUACAUGCAAGUCGAGCGCGAAAGUCCGCAAGGAUGAGUAAAGCGGCGCACGGGUGAGUAACACGUGGGUAAUCUACCUUUUGGAUUGGAAUAACCUGUCGAAAGACGGGCUAAUGCCGAGUAAGCCUUCUUGAACGUGAAGUUCGAGACGGGAAAGAUGGCGCAAGCUAUCGCCGAAAGAUGAGCCUGCGUCCCAUUAGUUAGUUGGUGGGGUAAUGGCUUACCAAGACAAUGAUGGGUACCUGGUUUGAGAGAAUGAUCAGGCACACUGGAACUGAAACACGGUCCAGACUCCUACGGGAGCAGCAGUAGGGAAUAUUGCGCAAUGGACGAAAGUCUGACGCAGCCACGCCGCGUGAGUGAGGAA
rnacentral:rRNA from 1 species